GUAGGAGUGAGCCUGCUCGCGAACGCGGUGUGUCAGUUGUUGAUUGGCUAUCUGACACACCGCUAUCGCGAGCAGGCUCACUCCUAC
rnacentral:misc_RNA from 1 species